rnacentral:rRNA from 1 species
UACGGAGGGUGCAAGCGUUAUCCGGAUUCACUGGGUUUAAAGGGUGCGUAGGUGGAUAGGUAAGUCAGGGGUGAAAUCUCGGAGCUUAACUCCGAAACUGCCUUUGAUACUAUCUAUCUUGAAUAUUGUGGAGGUUUGCGGAAUAUGUCAUGUAGCGGUGAAAUGCUUAGAUAUGACAUGGAACACCUAUUGCGAAGGCAGCAGGCUACACAUAUAUUGACACUGAGGCACGAAAGCGUGGGGAUCAAAC